GAUGAACGCUAGCGGCAGGCUUAAUACAUGCAAGUCGAGGGGCAUCACAAAUAGCAAUAUUUGGGGGCAACCGGCAAACGGGUGCGGAACACGUACCCAACCUUCCCAAAACUGGUGAAUAGCCCUCCAAAAGGAGGAUUAAUACACCGUAAAAUAUAGAGGUGGCAUCAUUUUUAUAUUAUACCUCCGGCGGUUUUGGAUGGGCGUGCGCCUGAUUAGGUAGUUGGCGGGGUAACGGCCCACCAAGCCUUCAAUCAGUAACUGGGGUGAGAGCACAACCAGUCACACGGGCACUGAAACACGGGCCCAACUCCUACGGGAGGCAGCAGUAAGGAAUAUUGGUCAAUGGACGGAAGUCUGAACCACCCAUGCCGCGUGAAGGAUGACGGCCCUCUGGGUUGUAAACUUCUUUUAUCUGGAACAAAAAAAGGGAAUUCUUCCUCACUUGACGGUACCAAAGGAAUAAGCACCGGCUAACUCCGUG
rnacentral:rRNA from 1 species